UACGUAGGGUGCGAGCGUUGUCCGGAAUUAUUGGGCGUAAAGGGCGCGUAGGCGGGUUGUCGCGUCGGGGGUGAAAACACACAGCUUAACUGUGUGCUUGCUUCCGAUACGGGCAGACUAGAGGUAUGCAGGGGAGAACGGAAUUCCUGGUGUAGCGGUGAAAUGCGCAGAUAUCAGGAGGAACACCGGUGGCGAAGGCGGUUCUCUGGGCAUUACCUGACGCUGAGGAGCGAAAGUGUGGGGAGCGAACAGG
rnacentral:rRNA from 1 species